rnacentral:tRNA from 1 species
UCGUCGUUGGCGAGUACCAGCGGGUCGGCGCCGUUGACCUCGGCGAGCAGCUGAAACAGGUUGAACGUGUACGAGUCGUGGUUGUCGACC